rnacentral:rRNA from 1 species
CGCGCGAUACAGGGUGACAGCCCCGUACACAAAAAUGCACAUGCUGUGAGCUCGAUGAGUAGGGCGGGACACGUGGUAUCCUGUCUGAAUAUGGGGGGACCAUCCUCCAAGGCUAAAUACUCCUGACUGACCGAUAGUGAACCAGUACCGUGAGGGAAAGGCGAAAAGAACCCCGGCGAGGGGAGUGAAAAAGAACCUGAAACCGUGUACGUACAAGCAGUGGGAGCACGCUUAGGCGUGUGACUGCGUACCUUUUGUAUAAUGGGUCAGCGACUUAUAUUCUGUAGCAAGGUUAACCGAAUAGGGGAGCCGAAGGGAAACCGAGUCUUAACUGGGCGUUAAGUUGCAGGGUAUAGACCCGAAACCCGGUGAUCUAGCCAUGGGCAGGUUGAAGGUUGGGUAACACUAACUGGAGGACCGAACCGACUAAUGUUGAAAAAUUAGCGGAUGACUUGUGGCUGGGGGUGAAAGGCCAAUCAAACCGGGAGAUAGCUGGUUCUCCCCGAAAGCUAUUUAGGUAGCGCCUCGUGAAUUCAUCUCCGGGGGUAGAGCACUGUUUCGGCAAGGGGGUCAUCCCGACUUACCAACCCGAUGCAAACUGCGAAUACCGGAGAAUGUUAUCACGGGAGACACACGGCGGGUGCUAACGUCCGUCGUGAAGAGGGAAACAACCCAGACCGCCAGCUAAGGUCCCAAAGUCAUGGUUAAGUGGGAAACGAUGUGGGAAGGCCCAGACAGCCAGGAUGUUGGCUUAGAAGCAGCCAUCAUUUAAAGAAAGCGUAAUAGCUCACUGGUCGAGUCGGCCUGCGCGGAAGAUGUAACGGGGCUAAACCAUGCACCGAAGCUGCGGCAGCGACGCUGAUGCGUUGUUGGGUAGGGGAGCGUUCUGUAAGCCUG